rnacentral:rRNA from 1 species
UCAAGCAAAAAAGAGCGCAGGGUGGAUGCCUUGGCACUAAGAGCCGAAGAAAGACGUGAUAAGCUGCGAAAAGCUGCGGGGAGGAGCAAAUAUCCACUGAUCCGCAGAUGUCUGAAUGGGGAAACCCGCAUGAGCAUACCUCAUGCAUCCAUACGCCAAUCCAUAACGUAUGGAGGGGAACCGCCUGAACUGAAACAUCUAAGUAGGGCGAGGAAGAGAAAGAAAAUUUAUCGAUUUCCAAAGUAGCGGCGAGCGAAAUGGAAAGAGGCCAAACCGGAGUGCGUGCACUCCGGGGUUCGGACCGCAUUUAAGAUUCAGUGAUUCUAGCAGAAAGGUUUGGGAAAGCCUGCCGGAGAGGGUGAAAGCCCCGUAAGCGAAAGGAGAACUGACUGAGCGGGAUCCAGAGUACAUCGAGACACGAGAAACCUUGAUGGAAUGAGCGGGGACCACCCCGUAAGCCUAAAUACUCCUUAGUGACCGAUAGCGCAUAGUACUGUGAAGGAAAGGUGAAAAGGACCCCGGGAGGGGAGUGAAAGAGAACCUGAAACCCUGUGUUUACAAGCUGUGGGACAUCUUUACAUGAUGAACCGCGUACUUUUUGUAGAACGGUCCGGCGAGUUGCGGAUGCCGGCAAGGUUAAGCACUUAAGGUGUGGAGCCGAAGGGAAACCAAGUCUGAAGAGGGCGCAUAUAGUCAGUAUCCGCAGACCCGAAACCGGGUGAUCUACCCAUGUCCAGGUUGAAGUUGCCGUAAAAGGCAAUGGAGGACCGAACGCACAUCCGUUGAAAAGGGUGGCGAUGAGGUGUGGGUAGGGGAGAAAUUCCAAUCGAACCCGGAGAUAGCUGGUUCUCCUCGAAAUAGCUUUAGGGCUAGCCUCGUUUUAGUCUUAUGGAGGUAGAGCACUGAAUUUCCGCGGGGGCGUCAAAGCUUACCAAAGAAUAUCAAACUCCGAAUGCCAUGUAGAUGAUGAACGGGAGUCAGACUGCACGAGAUAAGUUGGGCAGUCAAAAGGGAAAGAGCCCAGACCGCCAGCCAAGGUCCCAAAGUGUGUGUUAAGUGGAAAAGGAUGUGGGAUCUCCAAGACAACUAGGAUGUUGGCUCAGAAGCAGCCACACAUUCAAAGAGUGCGUAACAGCUCACUAGUCGAGAGGUCCUGCGCCGAAAAUGUCCGGGGCUGAAACACAACACCGAAGCUGCGGAAUUGCGAAUGCAAUUGGUAGAGGAGCAUUCUUAAUACCGACGAAGCUGUACCGGAAGGAGCAGUGGAGGGAUAAGAAGAGAGAAUGCCGGAAUGAGUAGCGAGAGAGAGGUGGGAAUCCUCUCGGCCGAAUAUCCAAGGUUUCCAGAGUAAAGCUGAUCUGCUCUGGGUAAGUCGGGGCCUAAGGCGAGGUCAAAAGACGUAGCCGAUGGACAACAGGUUUAGAUUCCUGUACCGCAUAUAAACAGAACUGUGGGGACGCAUGGGGAGAGCAUGGGCCGGGAAUGGAAAUACCGGUGCAAGCGAAGGAGGUGUGCAGCCGGCAAAUCCGCUGCAUGAGCCGAAAGCGUGACGCGGAGCGAAAUGAAAGUAGCGAAGCAUGUGAGCCCUGUGCCGAGAAAAGCCGCUAUUGCUUUAUAUGUGCCCGUACCGUAAACCGACACAGGUGGAUGAGGAGAGAAUCCUAAGGCCGGCGGAAGAAGUAUUGUUAAGGAACUCGGCAAAAUGACCCCGUAACUUCGGGAGAAGGGGUGCCCACGGGAGUGGGCCGCAGAGAAUAGGCUCAAGCAACUGUUUAGCAAAAACACAGGUCUAUGCGAAACCGAAAGGUGAAGUAUAUGGGCUGACGCCUGCCCGGUGCUGGAAGGUUAAGAGGAGAGGUUAGCGCAAGCGAAGCUUUGAAUUUAAGCCCCAGUAAACGGCGGCCGUAACUAUAACGGUCCUAAGGUAGCGAAAUUCCUUGUCGGGUAAGUUC